rnacentral:rRNA from 1 species
ACUCAAAGGAAUAGACGGGGGCCCGCACAAGCGGUGGAGCAUGUGGUUUAAUUCGAUGCAACGCGAAGAACCUUACCAGGUCUUGACAUCCUUAGGAUCUUGAUGAAAGUCAGGAGUGCUCGCAAGAGAGCUAAGAGACAGGUGGUGCAUGGUUGUCGUCAGCUCGUGUCGUGAGAUGUUGGGUUAAGUCCCGCAACGAGCGCAACCCUUGCUAUUAGUUGCUAACAGGAAAGCUGAGCACUCUAAUGGGACUGCCGGUGACAAGCCGGAGGAAGGUGGGGAUGACGUCAAAUCAUCAUGCCCUUUAUGAUCUGGGCUACACACGUGCUACAAUGGAUGGUACAAAGAGAAGCGAAGCUGUGAAGUGAAGCAAAUCUCAAAAAGCCAUUCUCAGUUCGGAUUGUAGUCUGCAACUCGACUACAUGAAGUCGGAAUCGCUAGUAAUCGCGGAUCAGAAUGUCGCGGUGAAUGCGUUCCCGGGCCUUGUACACACCGCCCGU